AUUGAACGCUGGCGGCAGGCCUAACACAUGCAAGUCGAACGGUAACAGGAAGAAGCUUGCUUCUUUGCUGACGAGUGGCGGACGGGUGAGUAAUGUCUGGGAAACUGCCUGAUGGAGGGGGAUAACUACUGGAAACGGUAGCUAAUACCGCAUAACGUCGCAAGACCAAAGAGGGGGACCUUCGGGCCUCUUGCCAUCGGAUGUGCCCAGAUGGGAUUAGCUAGUAGGUGGGGUAACGGCUCACCUAGGCGACGAUCCCUAGCUGGUCUGAGAGGAUGACCAGCCACACUGGAACUGAGACACGGUCCAGACUCCUACGGGAGGCAGCAGUGGGGAAUAUUGCACAAUGGGCGCAAGCCUGAUGCAGCCAUGCCGCGUGUAUGAAGAAGGCCUUCGGGUUGUAAAGUACUUUCAGCGGGGAGGAAGGGAGUAAAGUUAAUACCUUUACUCAUUGACGUUACCCGCAGAAGAAGCACCGGCGAACUCCGU
rnacentral:rRNA from 1 species